rnacentral:rRNA from 1 species
GUAGGUGGCAAGCGUUGUCCGGGAAUUAUUGGGGCGUAAAGCGCGCGCAGGCGGUUCUUUAAGUCUGAUGUGAAAGCCCACGGGCUCAACCGUGAGGGUCAUCGGAAACUGGAGAACUUGAGUACAGAAGAGGAAAGCGGAAUUCCACGUGUAGCGGUGAAAUGCGUAGAGAUGUGGAGGAACACCAGUGGCGAAGGCGGCUUUCUGGUCUGUAACUGACGCUGAGGCGCGAAAGCGUGGGGAGCGAACAGGAUUAGAUACCCUGGUAGUCCACGCCGUAAACGAUGAGUGCUAAGUGUUAGGGGGUUUCCGCCCCUUAGUGCUGCAGCUAACGCAUUAAGCACUCCGCCUGGGGAGUACGGCCGCAAAGGCUG